GUAGGGAAUAUUGGGCAAUGGAUGCAAGUCUGACCCAGCCAUCCCGCGUGCCGGAAGAAGGCCCUCAGGGUUGUAAACGGCUUUUGACGGUGAAGAAUCGACAGGAUGCGUCCUGUUUUGACGGUAGCCGUUGAAUAAGCACCGGCUAACUCCGUGCCAGCAGCCGCGGUAAUACGGAGGGUGCGAGCGUUGUCCGGAUUUAUUGGGUUUAAAGGGUGCGUAGGCUGGAAGGUCAGUCAGCGGUGAAAAGCUGUCGCUUAACGAUAGUCUUGCCGCAGAUACUUCCUUUCUUGGAUGAGGAGGAGGCCACUGGAACGGAUGGUGUAGCGGUGAAAUGCAUAGAUAUCAUCCAGAACACCGAUUGCGAAGGCAGGUGGCUGUACCUUAAUCGACGCUGAUGCACGAAAGCAUGGGUAGCAAACAGGAUUAGAAACCCCAGUAGUCC
rnacentral:rRNA from 1 species